rfam:Streptomyces sp. CB02488 scaffold10, whole genome shotgun sequence.
UCGGCCCCGGUUCACGGACGCGCAAUCCGCGCGUACGACCCGGCGCC